GAUGAACGCUGGCGGUAUGCUUAACACAUGCAAGUCGAACGGACUCUUCGGAGUUAGUGGCGGACGGGUGAGUAACGCGUGAGAAUCUGGCUUUGGGUUCGGGACAACCACUGGAAACGGUGGCUAAUACCGGAUGUGCCGAGAGGUAAAAGAGAAAUUGCCUGAAGAUGAGCUCGCGUCUGAUUAGCUAGUUGGUGAGGUAAAGGCUCACCAAGGCAGCGAUCAGUAGCUGGUCUGAGAGGAUGACCAGCCACACUGGGACUGAGACACGGCCCAGACUCCUACGGGAGGAAGCAGUGGGGAAUUUUCCGCAAUGGGCGAAAGCCUGACGGAGCAAUACCGCGUGAGGGAAGAAGGCUCUUGGGUUGUAAAACUCUUUUCUUAGGGAAGAACAAAAUGACGGUACCUAAGGAAUCAGCAUCGGCUAACUCCGUG
rnacentral:rRNA from 1 species